rnacentral:rRNA from 1 species
UCCGUAGGUGAACCUGCGGAAGGAUCAUUACAAAAAAUCCAAUGGCUAGCAUACUCUCAAGCAUGCGAAUCAUCAAACCAUUUCUGCGUACAUCACUUCCGCGUUGCUUUCGCAGGUGGACCGGCGUGACGGCGGACGACUUCUUCUGGAGUCCGCAACGCGUCGUAAUCUGCGAAAGGGUCCGAGUUUUUAUUUUUAAAUUCUUCGUUUAACCGUCGUCCAAUUCUCGUCUGAAACAAACUACAAAACAAAAACAAAACUUUCAACAACGGAUCUCUUGGUUCUCGCAUCGAUGAAGAACGCAGCGAAAUGCGAUAAGUAGUGUGAAUUGCAGAAUUCAGUGAAUCAUCGAAUCUUUGAACGCACAUUGCGCCUCCUGGCAUUCCGGGAGGCAUGCCUGUUCGAGCGUCAUCAAACACCAUCGUGCGGAUGAAUUUUCGCGCGGAAGUGACGAUUGAGCGAUACAAAUCUUAUUUUGUUCGCACUUCGUCGAAAUGAUUGCGGGCGGAAUUUGGGAUCGGGUUCCUCGGCGUAGUGUACCAAUGCAUAUUUAUGUAACUUGCCGCGGAGUUGGAGCCUGGACCACGGCGGUUCCUCGGCCCGGUACAAAAAAUUAUUACUUUACAAGGUUUUUGACCUCGGGGGAUC